rnacentral:rRNA from 1 species
UACAGAGGUCUCAAGCGUUGUUCGGAAUCAUUGGGCGUAAAGGGUGCGUAGGCGGCGCGGUAAGUCGGGUGUGAAAUUUCGGAGCUUAACUCCGAAACUGCAUUCGAUACUGCCGUGCUUGAGGACUGGAGAGGAGACUGGAAUUUACGGUGUAGCGGUGAAAUGCGUAGAUAUCGUAAGGAAGACCAGUGGCGAAGGCGGGUCUCUGGACAGUUCCUGACGCUGAGGCACGAAGGCCAGGGGAGCAAACGGG